rnacentral:rRNA from 1 species
GGGUUGUGAGGUUAAGCGACUAAGCGUACACGGUGGAUGCCCUGGCAGUCAGAGGCGAUGAAGGACGUGCUAAUCUGCGAUAAGCGUCGGUAAGGUGAUAUGAACCGUUAUAACCGGCGAUUUCCGAAUAGGGAAACCCAGUGUGUUUCGACACACUAUCAUUAACUGAAUCCAUAGGUUAAUGAGGCGAACCGGGGGAACUGAAACAUCUAAGUACCCCGAGGAAAAGAAAUCAACCGAGAUUCCCCCAGUAGCGGCGAGCGA